GGGAUCUCAGCUGGGGACGCGGAGACUUUGCCCUCCAGGAGGGCAUCUAAUGUUUGUGAUGAUUGCCUCAUCUGUCGUUUGCACUGAGCUUGUGUUGCUAAUUAUUAGCUAUGGUGGAUGCAGAGAGAAAGACGGAAUUGGAUAUGGAAUGGCAGAAGCUAUGACAAACUGCAAGAGUGCCUGGCUGUCACUGUUUAAAAAAUUAUAAUGUUUCUCAAAGAAAUUCCAAAGAACAUGGAAAGGAGACCACAGGAAGAAUCCAGAACUGCUGCCCAUCAUAAAAUUUUUCCAUCUGCAAUUUGUGUCUACAGUGUGCCAGUUAUUGAUGAGGGUGAGGCUGAAGGUGGGACAGUGUGGGGGAGAUUUUUUAAUUGCUCCCCAAUUACCAUAUUCCUCUUUUCUUUUCUUUUUUCUUUUUGAGACAGAGUCUCGCUCUGUAGACCAGGCUAGAGUGCA
rnacentral:lncRNA from 1 species